CCAGUGCUGUCAUGAUUUCUUUUCUACGCGGAGAACCGCUAGCCAAUAUUAUGUUCUUCUUAUUAAGUGUUUCUAAAAUCGGCUGCAACAUUUUCGCUGAAAUUCCUAAAAGCUAAAAUAAUACACUUCGAUCUCUGCACUUCGAUAGAAUAUUCCAACCUCGUACCCAGGGCUUCUGCGCUUAUUGCUCUCAGAAGCCCUGGGAUAAUCCAACUCAGAACGUGAUUUGAUUGGUCAAUGCGAAUACAAUGAAAGUACCGGAAGUUAUUCAUUAACCGGGUGAUAUUUUGGCAACAUGUCUGCUAUCACAAGGAGUGUAUACAAAAGUUAAAUGCUGGUUUUUGCAUGAAAAUACUUUUUUGAACCAAAUUCUGGGCUAUUUUGAAAAGAGCAAAAGAAGAAAUGGACUAUUUGUAUUUGUAAAUAAGCAAGAAUGGCGAACAAAGUAAAAAAUUUAAUUAACAUAAUAAAGCGAAACAUUUCUCGUUCGAAAAUUGAAAUUUCAAGUAUAAAUCUACAAUCUUCAACCACGAUAUUCAAUGUAAAUAUUACAUAAUAAAGUUUUUAAUACCUUUUUUACCUUUAUUUGAUAAAUUGUGUGUUCUAUAUUUAUUGCAUUUUGUAUUGGAAUAGGAUAAAUUAUGAAUUAUACACAAAUAUUUAAAUUUACAAAUUAUUCCCAAUUUGAGGAUGCUGGGUGCACUGGCUCAGAGUUUGUAUUAGUGCCUAUUUAUUAUCGAGUUAUUAGUGCCUCUAAGUCUCUAAUGUACAAACAUUGUAAUCUGUUACUUAAUACCAUAAAGAAACUGUUGAUAGCACAUAUAUUAAAUGACUAUUAAUCAAAAUGAACUAAAUUUUCGACCAUUAUAUAGCAUAUUUCCCCCAAUAUUGAGGGAAUAAUUUCUCAUAUUUAUUUUUAUAAUAAGCCAAUAUUGCCCAACUGUGAAGUAAAUAUUGCCCGACUGGCCUAGUCUGCCCAACAAUUGAGCCCAGCCCUGUAUGCCUAUGACCAGGCCUACAGGUGGACCCCCAACCUGAUUGGUCACAAUUUUUCUUUCUCCAAAAUUUCCCCUCCCCAUGUACAAAAUUGACAAUUUGACAGUUUGAUUAGAUUUGAAAAAAAAACACCUAAUACAUUUACUAUUAUCAGAAACAAUUUUCCCCCCUCCCCCUCUGAAUGGCAGAAAUUUCCCCUGUGGGGAGAGUGUGGAUAUUUUCUGGAACGACCGAUUUGAGGAAUGCUUUUGCACAAAUUUUAAAUUUUCUUACAAUUUUCUUGUAUGUCAGAACACUGUUCUAAGUUGCAACUAAAAUUCAGAGGUCUAAAAGGCUCAAGUCAAUUCCAGUGGUGUAACCAGAGGAGGUGGGGGGUCAAAAUAUUUUAAAUGUUCUGAACUUGUUUGUAAUUAAUUAGAGUUGAAC